GAUGUAGAACGUAGCGAAAUGCGAUACUUGGUGUGAAUUGCAGAAUCCCGUGAACCAUCGAGUCUUUGAACGCAAGUUGCGCCCGAAGCCAUCAGGUUGAGGGCACGUCUGCCUGGGCGUCACAUAUCGUUGCCCAAUGCCUAUUGCAGUGCAAUAGGAAUUUCUAGGGCGAAUGAUGGCUUCCCGUGAGCGUUGUUGCCUCGCGGUUGGUUGAAAAUCGAGUCCUUGGUAGGGUGUGCCAUGGUAGAUGGUGGUCGAGUUAGAACGAUACCGAUCAUGUGCAUGCUCCCCAAAAUAUGGCCUCUAUGACCCACACGCGUCUUUUGACGCUCAUGACGAGACCUCAGGUCAGGCGGGGCUACCCGCUGAAUUUAAGCAUAUCAAUAAGCGGAGGA
rnacentral:misc_RNA from 1 species